UGCUUUAAACUUCAUUGAUGUAGUGAAAAAUAAGAGUUUCCUUGGUAUGUCAUUGUAGAUUUUAAUCAAUCUCCACCAUUCACAUUACACAUUUCAGCUCGAUUGAACUGUAGAAAUUUUUACAUAGGUACAUGCUCAUCAUUUGGGCACAACAGAUUUUUUGUGUGGGUAUUUGAGAUCUGAUAAAUGAAUUGGGUAAAUUAAAGAUGGUAGUUUGGAAUCCUCAUGAUUCAUUUGUUGUAUAUUUCAGGUUAUGUGAAGGUGGGAAGCACUUAGAAUACUUUUCAGAACUCAGCUGUCAUUCGGUUUUCUACUUGAAUAUCCAGGGCUGAGGCACAACACGUUGCACGACUUGAGGAAGAAGAGGCUCUCAUUUCAGCUCAUAAAAAAAAUCCAGAUAGAAGAGACUUGCCCCAAUUGCUUUUGUACUUAAGCUGGUUGUGCAAUAUUGAGUGCUGGAUAUUAGCAACACCAAUCUAUAUAUUCUUUUUGAAAUAUUAACUUGCAAAAUAAAACAAUGCGAAUGAUGUAUGACAUAAUUUAUAAGGCCUUGGAAGAGAUUGGGCUCGAGAAAACAUGUGCCGCAAGAUUAUUUGAAUUUUUUCUGCCUUGGCAAUUGUGAAGCUGCAGAUGGAACCGAUGCUUCAUGAGGAAGUCCUGCAGCAAACACUCUCCAAGUAAUUCUUUUGUUCCUGGAGCA